AGAAGGGAUGCUGCGCAAGAGCAAGGGCCUCCUAAAAAACAUAGACAGCUGCUCAAGAGACUGAAGUGGUGGACAGCUUGCUGUGAAAGAUGGAAGCAUUCUUCCUGCAAGUCUGGACAAGGCCAUAUUAAAUGGCUUCAUCUGUCACAAAUCGCUGGCCACGAAUGUAAAGAACACCUUGGCCCCACUUCUGUCGAGGGAACCGAAGUUGCCUGAACAGAUGAAGAGCGGUGGUGCUACCAAUAGUGAACGACUGUGAUUUUAUAAUGUGCAAGUGUACGAACAAUC